rnacentral:misc_RNA from 1 species
GAUGAAGAACGUAGCGAAAUGCGAUAAUUAAUGUGAAUUGCAGAAUUCAGUGAAUCAUCGAGUCUUUGAACGCACAUUGCGCCCCCUGGUAUUCCGGGGGGCAUGCCUGUUCGAGCGUCAUUUCAACCAUCAAGCCCUGCUUGCGUUGGGGUCCUGCGGCUGCCCGCAGGCCCUGAAAACCAGUGGCGGGCUCGCUAGUCACACCGAGCGCAGUAAUACAUCUCGCUUUGGGCGUGCGGCGGGUUCUUGCCGUUAAACACCCCCUUUUUACCAAGGUUGACCUCGGAUCAGGUAGGAAUACCCGCUGAACUUAAGCAUAUCAAUAAGCGGAGGA